rnacentral:rRNA from 1 species
GACGAACGCUGGCGGCGUGCUUAACACAUGCAAGUCGAACGGAAAGGCCUGCUUUCCCUUGUGGAUUGCGGGUACUCGAGUGGCGAACGGGUGAGUAACACGUGAGUGAUCUGCCCCCAACUUGGGUAUAAGCCUGGGAAACUGGGUCUAAUUCCCGAUAGGACUGCAGGGUGGUGCCUGUGGUGGAAAACGAUUUUCUAGUGGUUGGGGGUGAGCUCGCGGCCUAUCAGCUUGUUGGUGGGGUAAUGGCCUACCAAGGCGGCGACGGGUAGCCGGCCUGUGAGGGGGGACGGCCGCAUUGCGACUGGGAUACGGCCCAGACUCCUACGGGAGGCAGCAGUGGUGAAUAUUGCACAAUGGGCGGAAGGCUGAUGCAGCGACGCCGCGUGGGGGAUGACGGCCUUCGGGUAGUAAACUCCUUUCGACCGCGAGGAAGCCACCUGGUUGGAAGGGUGGUGACGGUAGUGGUAGAAGAAGCACCGGCUAACUACGUG